rnacentral:rRNA from 1 species
UACGUAGGGUGCGAGCGUUGUCCGGAAUUACUGGGCGUAAAGGGUGCGUAGGCGGCGCGGUAAGUCGGGUGUGAAAUCUCGGAGCUUAACUCCGAAACUGCAUUCGAUACUGCCGUGCUUGAGGACUGGAGAGGAGACUGGAAUUUACGGUGUAGCGGUGAAAUGCGUAGAUAUCGUAAGGAAGACCAGUGGCGAAGGCGGGUCUCUGGACAGUUCCUGACGCUGAGGCACGAAGGCCAGGGGAGCAAACGGG